GGCUGUGCAUUUUUUUAGGUUGAUACAAAUGACCUCCCAAAGCUCCCACCUCCAAGCACCAUACGAGGGGGAACAGGGCUUCCACGUGCGCAUUAGGGGACACACACGUGCCCCCCAUCACACCCCCGCUUCCGCAGCAGUCCUGACGGCCCCGUCCAUAGGCGCAGUCCCAGCUUUAAAUGCUCUCCAAGGUUCUCCGCAUUCUCCUAACUCGAUUUCCUCUCUCGCUCUAGGAAAAUGAAUUGAUGCUGACCUCAGAGAAGAGAGGACGUCGAGAUGAAGGCAGCAAGCAGUCUCAGGCUACGUGAUUCUCGGCACUCUUCCCACAGCAGAAGGAGGACCCAGCUCGGGACCCGCAGGAAAUAAAUCGGUCGUUGAGGCUGCUUUUGUCUUUGGCUCAGAGACAAAAGACCUGCCGUCCUCACAGUUCUGGAGGCUGGAAAUCCAAGGUCACGUGCCAGUAGACUCCGUGCCUGCUAUACACACACAUUCUUCUUCUCUUCUUCUCUUCCAUCUUGGUCGGCCUGAAGGGAUUGGAUGCAGGUCCCUGUGCGGUGCUGUAGGGUCGCAACGCCUCAGCGCUUACAUGUGGAAUCUAAACUAUGGCACAGGUUUUUCCGUCCGUGCAGGAACCAAAGCGCCUCCAGGGACACCAGACGCGUUUGGCAAACAGAACUGGCCGGGUACAGUCUCGUUCAUCUAAAUUGCUCUCUAUCUGCCCAGAAACGCCAGGAUACAUGUCGGCGUCAGGGAUGUUCACCUGGCAAACGGCAGCAGAGGCGGGAGAGGCAUCCCAAGGCACCGACGGAAGGCAGGGAUGCAGGAUGCCAGCCAGGGAGGCGGGUCUGCACGCCGUGCUCGCACCACACCCAUCGGGGACAGAUGCAGACCCCAGGACUCCUGGGGAUGAGAGGGCCCCUGCUAGAGGGAUGCGGUUGGGAAUUUGAACUCAGAGAGAUGCAUCGAAGGAGC
rnacentral:lncRNA from 1 species